AACUUACUGACGUGUGCCAAAUAGCACGAAAUCUAGGUCUAGGGU
rnacentral:hammerhead_ribozyme from 1 species